rnacentral:tRNA from 1 species
GGGGAUAUAGCAUGACAGCAUAAGCACCUGCCUGGCAAGCACAUGGUUGUGAGUUCGAUUCUCAGUACCUCCC